CUACGGGGUGCUCCAGUAGGGAAUAUUGCGCAAUGGGGGAAACCCUGACGCAGCAACGCCGCGUGGAGGAUGACACUUUUCGGAGCGUAAACUCCUUUUGUUAGGGAAGAAUAAUGACGGUACCUAACGAAUAAGCACCGGCUAACUCCGUGCCAGCAGCCGCGGUAAUACGGAGGGUGCAAGCGUUACUCGGAAUCACUGGGCGUAAAGGACGCGUAGGCGGAUUAUCAAGUCUCUUGUGAAAUCUAAUGGCUUAACCAUUAAACUGCUUGGGAAACUGAUAAUCUAGAGUAAGGGAGAGGUAGAUGGAAUUCUUGGUGUAGGGGUAAAAUCCGUAGAGAUCAAGAAGAAUACCCAUUGCGAAGGCGAUCUCCUGGAACAUUACUGACGCUAAGGCGUGAAAGCGUGGGGAGCAAACAGGAUUAGAUACCCCUGUAGUC
rnacentral:rRNA from 1 species